rnacentral:tRNA from 1 species
GGAGCGAUGUCCGAGCGGUUGAAGGAGGCGGUCUUGAAAACCGUUGUGCCGCAAGGCACCGGGGGUUCGAAUCCCCCUUGCUCCGC